AUGUGCGUGGCAGAGAAAUUAUUCAUGAACGAGUUAUCACUGAUGAUAAUCAAGUUGCAUUAAUUUUUGCUGAUAGAAAUAUGAUCGGCCGUCUAAAUGUAGCUCAAGAACUUCAUGCUGAUGGAACCUUUGCUUCCACUCCUCGAGAACCAGCUGCAGCUCAAUUAUAUGUGGUAUAUCUACGACAUUUGGACAAUGGAUUUUCUGCAGUUUUUGUUUUAUGUCAAUGUCGGACAACUGAGAUGUAUAAUAAAAUUUGGUCUCGUAUAAUUGAAUGAGCACCUGGCGUAAUGAAUGCUCGUAGCAUGACUGCAGAUUUUGAAAGAGCUCAUAUCCGAAGUGUUCGCGAUAAUUUGCCCAAUACUCGGAUCAAAGGCUGCUGGUUUCACUUC